rnacentral:rRNA from 1 species
GACGAACGCUGGCGGCGUGCCUAAUACAUGCAAGUUGAGCGAUGAAGAUUGGUGCUUGCUCCAAUUUGAAGAGCAGCGAACGGGUGAGUAACGCGUGGGGAAUCUGCCUUUGAGCGGGGGACAACAUUUGGAAACGAAUGCUAAUACCGCAUAACAACUUUAAACAUAAGUUUUAAGUUUGAAAGAUGCAAUUGCAUCACUCAAAGAUGAUCCCGCGUUGUAUUAGCUAGUUGGUGAGGUAAAGGCUCACCAAGGCGAUGAUACAUAGCCGACCUGAGAGGGUGAUCGGCCACAUUGGGACUGAGACACGGCCCAAACUCCUACGGGAGGCAGCAGUAGGGAAUCUUCGGCAAUGGACGAAAGUCUGACCGAGCAACGCCGCGUGAGUGAAGAAGGGUUUCGGAUCGUAAAACUCGGUUGGUAGAGAAGAACGGUGGUGAGAGUGGAAAGCUCAUCAAGUGACGGUAACUACCCAGAAAGGGACGGCUAACUACGUG